CUUCCCUACGGGGGGCAGCAGUGGGGAAUAUUGCACAAUGGGGGAAACCCUGAUGCAGCGACGCCGCGUGAGUGAAGAAGUAUUUCGGUAUGUAAAGCUCUAUCAGCAGGGAAGAUAAUGACGGUACCUGACUAAGAAGCCCCGGCUAACUACGUGCCAGCAGCCGCGGUAAUACGUAGGGGGCAAGCGUUAUCCGGAUUUACUGGGUGUAAAGGGAGCGUAGGUGGCAGGGCAAGUCAGAUGUGAAAACCCGGGGCUCAACUCCGGGAGUGCAUUAGAAACUGUCGUGCUGGAGUGUCGGAGGG
rnacentral:rRNA from 1 species